UACGGGAGGCAGCAGUGGGGAAUAUUGCACAAUGGGCGCAAGCCUGAUGCAGCCAUGCCGCGUGUAUGAAGAAGGCCUUCGGGUUGUAAAGUACUUUCAGUCGUGAGGAAGGUGUUAAGGUUAAUAACCUUAGCAAUUGACGUUAGCGACAGAAGAAGCACCGGCUAACUCCGUGCCAGCAGCCGCGGUAAUACGGAGGGUGCGAGCGUUAAUCGGAAUUACUGGGCGUAAAGGGCACGCAGGCGGUUAAUUAAGUUGGAUGUGAAAUCCCCGGGCUUAACCUGGGAAUGGCAUUCAGACUGGUUAGCUAGAGUCUUGUAGAGGGGGUAGAAUUCCAUGUGUAGCGGUGAAAUGCGUAGAGAUGUGGAGGAAUACCGGUGGCGAAGGCGGCCCCUGGACAAAGACUGACGCUCAUGUGCGAAAGCGUGGGGAGCAAAC
rnacentral:rRNA from 1 species